UACGAACCGUACGAACGUUAUUCGGAUUCACUGGGCUUAAAGCGUGCGUAGGCGGCUGGGAAAGUUGGGUGUGAAAGCCCUCGGCUCAACCGAGGAAUUGCGCCCAAAACUACCUGGCUUGAGGAAGAUAGAGGUAAGCGGAACUAAUGGUGGAGCGGUGAAAUGCGUUGAUAUCAUUAGGAACACCUGUGGCGAAAGCAGCUUACUGGGUCUUAUCUGACGCUGAUGCACGAAAGCUAGGGGAGCGAACGGG
rnacentral:rRNA from 1 species